rnacentral:rRNA from 1 species
UACGGGGGGGGCAAGCGUUGUUCGGAAUUACUGGGCGUAAAAGGGCUCGUAGGCGGCCAACUAAGUCCGACGUGAAAUCCCCAGGCUUAACCUGGGAACUGCGUCGGAUACUGGAUGGCUUGAAUUCGGGAGAGGGAUGCAGAAUUCCAGGUGUAGCGGUGAAAUGCGUAGAUAUCUGGAGGAAUACCGGUGGCGAAGGCGGCAUCCUGGACCGACAUUGACGCUGAUGGAGCGAAAGCUAGGGGAGCAAACGGGG